rnacentral:rRNA from 1 species
GUACACUCCUGCGGGAGGCAGCAGUGGGGAAUAUUGGACAAUGGGCGCAAGCCUGAUCCAGCCAUGCCGCGUGAGUGAUGAAGGCCCUAGGGUUGUAAAGCUCUUUCACCGGAGAAGAUAAUGACGGUAUCCGGAGAAGAAGCCCCGGCUAACUUCGUGCCAGCAGCCGCGGUAAUACGAAGGGGGCUAGCGUUGUUCGGAAUUACUGGGCGUAAAGCGCACGUAGGCGGAUCGAUCAGUCAGGGGUGAAAUCCCAGGGCUCAACCCUGGAACUGCCUUUGAUACUGUCGAUCUGGAGUAUGGAAGAGGUGAGUGGAAUUCCGAGUGUAGAGGUGAAAUUCGUAGAUAUUCGGAGGAACACCAGUGGCGAAGGCGGCUCACUGGUCCAUUACUGACGCUGAGGUGCGAAAGCGUGGGGAGCAAACAGGAUUAGAUACCCUUAUAGUCCCA